rnacentral:misc_RNA from 1 species
UAUGUUCUGUAUGAGGUUUGUUAA